UAACGGCGAGUGAAGCGGCAAAAGCUCAAAUUUGAAAUCUGGCACCUUCGGUGUCCGAGUUGUAAUUUGAAGAAGGUAACUUUGGAGUUGGCUCUUGUCUAUGUUCCUUGGAACAGGACGUCACAGAGGGUGAGAAUCCCGUGCGAUGAGAUGCCCAAUUCUAUGUAAAGUGCUUUCGAAGAGUCGAGUUGUUUGGGAAUGCAGCUCUAAGUGGGUGGUAAAUUCCAUCUAAAGCUAAAUAUUGGCGAGAGACCGAUAGCGAACAAGUACAGUGAUGGAAAGAUGAAAAGAACUUUGAAAAGAGAGUGAAAAAGUACGUGAAAUUGUUGAAAGGGAAGGGCUUGAGAUCAGACUUGGUAUUUUGCGAUCCUUUCCUUCUUGGUUGGGUUCCUCGCAGCUUACUGGGCCAGCAUCGGUUUGGAUGGUAGGAUAAUGACUAAGGAAUGUGGCUCUACUUCGGUGGAGUGUUAUAGCCUUGGUUGAUACUGCCUGUCUAGACCGAGGACUGCGU
rnacentral:rRNA from 1 species